rnacentral:rRNA from 1 species
AGCGACUUAUAUUCUGUAGCAAGGUUAACCGAAUAGGGGAGCCGGAGGGAAACCGAGUCUUAACCGGGCGUUAAGUUGCAGGGUAUAGACCCGAAACCCGGUGAUCUAGCCAUGGGCAGGUUGAAGGUUGGGUAACACUAACUGGAGGACCGAACCGACUAAUGUUGAAAAAUUAGCGGAUGACCUGUGGCUGGGGGUGAAAGGCCAAUCAAACCGGGAGAUAGCUGGUUCUCCCCGAAAGCUAUUUAGGUAGCGCCUCGUGAAUUCAUCUCCGGGGGUAGAGCACUGUUUCGGCUAGGGGGCCAUCCCGGCUUACCAACCCGAUGCAAACUGCGAAUACCGGAGAAUGUUAUCACGGGAGACACACGGCGGGUGCUAACGUCCGUCGUGAAGAGGGAAACAACCCAGACCGCCAGCUAAGGUCCCAAAGUCAUGGUUAAGUGGGAAACGAUGUGGGAAGGCCCAGACAGCCAGGAUGUUGGCUUAGAAGCAGCCAUCAUUUAAAGAAAGCGUAAUAGCUCACUGGUCGAGUCGGCCUGCGCGGAAGAUGUAACGGGGCUAAACCAUGCACCGAAGCUGCGGCAGCGACACUAUGUGUUGUUGGGUAGGGGAG